UCCUACGGGAGGCAGCAGUGAGGAAUAUUGGUCAAUGGGCGUAAGCCUGAACCAGCCAAGUCGCGUGAGGGAUGAAGGUUUAUGGAUCGUAAACCUCUUUUAUAAGGGAAUAAGUGCGGGACGUGUCCCGUUUUGUAUGUACCUUAUGAAUAAGGAUCGGCUAACUCCGUGCCAGCAGCCGCGGUAAUACGGAGGAUCCGAGCGUUAUCCGGAUUUAUUGGGUUUAAAGGGUGCGUAGGCGGCCUUUUAAGUCAGCGGUGAAAGUCUGUGGCUCAACCAUAGAAUUGCCGUUGAAACUGGGGGGCUUGAGUAUGUUUGAGGCA
rnacentral:rRNA from 1 species